AAGGAUGGGAGGGAAGGAUGGGAGGGAGGAGUAACAAAAGUGAAAACAAUUUCAAAUAGAUUUCAGUUUUUAGUUUUUGUUUUUACUUUUGUUACUCCUCCCUCCCAUCCUCCCCUCUCAUCUUC
rnacentral:miRNA from 1 species